GAGUUUGAUCAUGGCUCAGAUUGAACGCUGGCGGCAUGCCUUACACAUGCAAGUCGAACGGCAGCACGGGAGCAAUCCUGGUGGCGAGUGGCGAACGGGUGAGUAAUAUAUCGGAACGUGUCCAUGAGUGGGGGAUAGCCCGGCGAAAGCCGGAUUAAUACCGCAUAAGACCUGAGGGUGAAAGCGGGGGAUCUUCGGACCUCGCGCUGAUGGAGCGGCCGAUAUCAGAUUAGGUAGUUGGUGAGGUAAAGGCUCGCCAAGCCUGCGACCUGUAGCUGGUCUGAGAGGAUGGCCAGCCACACUGGGACUGAGACACG
rnacentral:rRNA from 1 species